GUGAGGAAUAUUGGUCAAUGGGCGAGAGCCUGAACCAGCCAAGUCGCGUGAAGGAAGAAGGAUCUAUGGUUCGUAAACUUCUUUUGCAGGGGAAUAAAGUGCGGGACGUGUCCUGUUUUGUAUGUACCCUGAGAAUAAGGAUCGGCUAACUCCGUGCCAGCAGCCGCGGUAAUACGGAGGAUCCGAGCGUUAUCCGGAUUUAUUGGGUUUAAAGGGUGCGUAGGUGGUUUGAUAAGUCAGCGGUGAAAGUUUGCAGCUUAACUGUAAAAAUGCCGUUGAAACUGUCGGACUGGAGUGUAAAUGAGGUAGGCGGAAUGCGUGGUGUAGCGGUGAAAUGCAUAGAUAUCACGCAGAACUCCGAUUGCGAAGGCAGCUUACUAAGCUACAACUGACACUGAAGCACGAAAGCGUGGGGAUCAAACAGGAUUAGAAACCCUUGUAGUCC
rnacentral:rRNA from 1 species